UCUUCAAAACAACAAGUUACAUAUCAUAUAUUAAUCUUAACUAUGUCCACAUAACAUAUAUAAUUAAAUGGCAACGCCGACCUUGUUAGUGGGUAAUGAGAUAUCAUCAGUUGUGGAGGAAGCCGCCUUUCCUCAGCCGCCGCAUAAUGCCUCCUCCCCUCAGUCGCCAUCAGCAAUUGUGGAGGAAGCCGCCUCCUCUCAGCCGCCGCAUAAUGCCUUCUCCCCUCAGCCGGCAUCAGCAAUCGUGGAGGAAGCCGCCUCCUCUCAGCUACAGAAAGAAGUAGAAGAACAUUUGCACCUUGUUGAAGCCCAUCGCAUUACUCUUGUCAAAGAGGAGAUCGGUGUUCGUAGUAGAUCCCAAAAAUUCGACUGGCAAAACAACUAUAGUCGAAGAGUUGCUUUGAAAAUUCAAAGUAGCUCACGUCAUUCAGUGACUGAUUCGAAGAGUGCAAUAACAGUCUAAGGACUACAAAAGUAUUUGUGAAUUAGCACUGUCAUCUAUCUCUUGGCCUUAUUAGAACAAUGCUUGUUAAUUUUCAUUUGUCCAUCUAGAAAAUAUGUCGACCCAUAAUCAUCUAGACCGUCGAUCUCUUUAAACAUUUUCACCACUUCAUCAUCGUUCGCCAAAGAACUGAACAAUCUACCUCCGUCAACUUCAGACCGAGUUUUAAUUGCUACAAGAGAAGGGCAUAUUGUUCAGUUCUUUGGCGAACGAUGAUGAAGUGAUGAAAAUGUUUAAAGAGAUCGACGGUCUAGGUGUGUCGACAUAUCUUCUAGAUGUGCAUGUGAAAAUUAACGAGCAUUGUUCUAGUAAGGCCAACACGUGGAUGGCAUAACUAAUUCACAAAUACUUCCGUAGUCCUUGGACUGUUAUUGAACUCUUCGCUACCACCUUUCUUGUGAUUUAGACAGGUGCACGUGCGUUGCACGUGUCGUAUUAGUUUCUUUUUUUCUUUUUUUCCUUCUUCUUUAUAUUUAGUAAUUUUGCAUUUAACAUGCUAUAUUUUUAUCAAAAUAAUAGUAUAAAUAUAAAUUAAGUGAAUAUUAUUGUGACAUUAAUAAUUUCUUUCAAUAAAUAGAACUUAAUUUUAUUUAAUAUUGAGAUACAUAGUUUUAUAAUUUUUGUCUAUAUUCAUUCAUGGUUCAACCAACUACCCUUGUCUUUUUCCCCCUCUUAUUGAUCGAAUUGUUCUCGUGUUUCUUCAUUAUGAUGAUAAGAUAUUGACAGAUAUUCAUUGAUAUUUUCUUAAGAAUUUUCUCUUUUUCAUCAUCUACGACCUUACGUUGUUCACCGGCUAUUCAGUGACAAAAUAGAAUUCAGUAGAUGCUUAUAGGUCUAGUCCUCAUUAGUAUUUUCUUUUUGC
rnacentral:lncRNA from 1 species